rnacentral:lncRNA from 1 species
UCAACGCCCCAAAUUAACCGUGAAUUGCACUAAUUAACCCUCAAUUUUUCCACAAGUUAUUGGGUUGGAUGAUUGCAUACGACAACCCAAAACAUUCCCUACAAGUUCCCUACAUGAAUUGCAUAAUAGAGAUACAAGCAAGAAUCAUUAAGUUCUAUGAAAAACAUAAGCAUUGACGAGGCACUCGUUACUAUGAUUUGCAUGAAACUUAUGCCAAGAAUUUACUUAACGUGAUUGUGACUAGCAAC